rnacentral:rRNA from 1 species
AACGAACGCUGGCGGCAUGCCUAACACAUGCAAGUCGAUCGAGACCUUCGGGUCUAGUGGCGCACGGGUGCGUAACGCGUGGGAACCUGCCCUUAGGUUCGGAAUAACUCCCCGAAAGGGGUGCUAAUACCGGAUAAUGUCUUCGGACCAAAGAUUUAUCGCCUUUGGAUGGGCCCGCGUUGGAUUAGCUAGUUGGUAGGGUAAAAGCCUACCAAGGCGACGAUCCAUAGCUGGUCUGAGAGGAUGAUCAGCCACACUGGGACUGAGACACGGCCCAGACUCCUACGGGAGGCAGCAGUGGGGAAUAUUGGACAAUGGGCGAAAGCCUGAUCCAGCAAUGCCGCGUGAGUGAUGAAGGCCUUAGGGUUGUAAAGCUCUUUUACCCGGGAUGAUAAUGACAGUACCGGGAGAAUAAGCUCCGGCUAACUCCGUG